rnacentral:rRNA from 1 species
AUUGAACGCUGGCGGCAUGCUUUACACAUGCAAGUCGAACGGUAACAGGCCGCAAGGUGCUGACGAGUGGCGAACGGGUGAGUAAUGCAUCGGAACGUGCCCAGUCGUGGGGGAUAACGCAGCGAAAGCUGCGCUAAUACCGCAUACGAUCUCUGGAUGAAAGCGGGGGACCGAAAGGCCUCGCGCGAUUGGAGCGGCCGAUGUCAGAUUAGGUAGUUGGUGGGGGUAAAGGCCACCAAGCCAACGAUCUGUAGCUGGUCUGAGAGGACGACCAGCCACACUGGGACUGAGACACGGCCCAGACUCCUACGGGAGGCAGCAGUGGGGAAUUUUGGACAAUGGGCGCAAGCCUGAUCCAGCAAUUCUGCGUGCAGGAAGAAGGCCUUCGGGUUGUAAACUGCUUUUGUACGGAACGAAAAGGUCUGGGUUAAUACCCUGGGCCGAUGACGGUACCGUAAGAAUAAGCACCGGCUAACUACGUGCCAGCAGCCGCGGUAAUAC